CCCCUAUCGACAAAGUGUUCAUCGAUGGAUGAAUUUUUUGAAAAGGGGGUGAAAAUUUUGCUCGAAUCACCCCAAAAUGAGAGUGUGUGCGUGGCUCGCUGUAUCGCGAUAGAGUUCGGCGUGUGUCGAAUGAAUGUUCAAAAAGGUCGUAGUAGGCUAAAAAUCUGUUUUUCUGUUUUCGCUCGGUCGCUGUACAUUUUCAUACGGGAAUAGUUCGUGAAUUGUGGAUUGCGUCAGUUCGUGGACUGUGUAUUCGAUUGUGGAAUAGUGUUUGCCAAGUUGUUCCAGUUUUAGUUCUAAAAGGAUGUUCCUGUGCCGGCACUGGUAAGUUGUACCGCCAGCGUGAUGACCUGCUGGCGCUGCUUUCGGCUGAAUGCGACGAUGCAAAGUCAGGACAAGCUGUUUCAAGACAUUUGAAGAGCAACGCGCGGGGACAUAUGGCCUCAUCCUCAUAUCUAGAGGUUUGGUGUACACAAAUCAGGAAGCAAGAAGGAUCUGGAAGCAGGAUGCAAGUGCCGUAGUGUAAAAUACUUCGUCAAAAAAGCGCGUGUUUUCUAACAACUGUGCCCACGCGUCCCUUUGGCCUACAGCUUUAAAGGUAGGCUACCGUGUACAAUCAAUGCCAUGGCGUCUAACGCAAUCGGUUGAACAUUCUGUAUCCUUUUCCUCUUGCAGCUAACUUUCAUACUUCUUGUUGGUCGCCCUCGGAUAGAGCGUAUGAAUUGACGGCCACAUCUUUUUCGCAUCAUUUGAAAGGAACAAAUUAUUGGACAUGCUCGUGAUUAUUCAGUUCUAUGAUGCACCUGCCAAUGGAAGUGAAAGACAAGCCAACCUUAGUAUUGGUUGUUUUUGCUGCUGAUCGGUUCUAAAUCGGUUUGUAUCGCAGCUAACGAUUCUCGAAGAAGUGUCAGUGUCCUAAUCUUCCUUGUUUUCAUUUCCCAACCAACAGGAUACUGGAAACCGCUGCUGUUAGUGCUCUGCAUUGGAUUUUUUCUUCGCUUUGCUCACAGUGCGUGACCUUGGUUUGUUGUGGCAAUCUAUCAGUCAAUUAACAGUCCCUUCAGCAAAACAAGUUCGAUCCUCCGUAUACAUCUGAUUUCCGUAAGAAUUACGCCUCAAAUUCGAAGGAGACAAUGUUCUAUCGCCACCUAGCGCCUCUACAAAUCGCGACUGAUACGCCUUGCCGUUGAACAUCCGUCCAAGAUAACAUAAUGCGAUCAGGUCGAAUCAUAAAUUAAUUCAAGAGUCUCCAUUCGAUACGAGAUUAUUAUUGGUUGGAACCUUAUUUUUCGCCGUUUGUUAUACAUUCCAUUUGCAGAUACAAAAUGGAGUGAAAGAUGCAAAAAAUCGCGUGUUAAUGCGGUCAAAAUUAAAUCGAGAUCGCACACGAUACCAAACUCAAAGGCACGAUGGAGUUUGUUUCGAAACACGCUGAAAGGUCCAUUGAAAAUUUUCGCCUGGACCGAUUUGAUUGAUACAGGAUAUGAAUAUCUUCGAAACUUGAUCUUGGAAAGGGGAAAAUGUCCACGUUUAUGAUUUGUUUACGCUGCACCGAUCGAAAUUGGCCGCGGGAUUAUGAAAAACGGUAACAAAUCGUGGGCGGAAUAAUAUGGACCAGGAUUAGAAACCCCUGGCUAAGCUGAAGCAGAGUACGAGCGUUGAAAGUUGUAUGCUGCCUAGGUUCUAAACUGUCCAAACUAUGUGGAUGAUGGGAAUAGAAAAAAAAUGGUGCGA